rnacentral:misc_RNA from 1 species
UAUUAUACGUCUAUGGUUGAGCCACGGUCGUCACCAUUUUCGCGCCAAAUUGUCCCGUUUCUCUAUUUACUUGGGAUCUUGGGCCUGUCAACUGAGCGGACGUGCGUGAGGAUGACUCGGCGAGAUAUAUCGGCGAAUUUCGACGCGAGACGCAGUGUCGCAACGAUGAGAACAUUCCUUUUGUUGGCAAUAUCCGUCAUUGCUAUUUUACUGUGCAAAAUCGUAGUGCUCGUAUACAAUACUUAUAUCACACGGAAAAAAUUAAGCCACAUUCCUGGGCCUAUCUCGGUCCCUUUCAUCGGAACGUUAUCUUUUCUACUACAAACGGAACAAGAGGAACACAGUGUGCAAGUUACAUUAAUCAGUCGCCUCGUCAUAGGUCGUGUCGAUUGGGUACUAUCGCUAUUGCACAAAUUUAAAGACGGAAUUUUUCAAAUUUGGAUAGGACCGCAACCAAUAAUUUACUUAUAUAAACCGGAGCUAUUGAAAACCGUCCUUGCAAGUACCGUGUUUAUAGAGAAAUCGGUGCAUUACGAUUUCUAUAAAGAAUGGAUGGGUAAUGGACUUCUUACCUCUAGUGGCAAGCAAUGGGUACGAGACAGGAAGCUCCUUUCGCCAUCGUUCCAUUUUAACAUACUAGAACAAUUCGGUGCGAUUAUAUCCGAGAAAAUAGAAAUCAUGCUAAAACAAAUGGAGAAAAAGAUAGCGAAAGAUCCAAGGAAGGCUAUCAAUAUCAUCCCCAUUAUAGAAGAUAUGACUUUCGAAAUUGUAUUUGAUACAAUAUUGAAUAUAAAUGAACAUACUCGGAAAGACAAGACACAAUUUAUUACCAACGUACGGAGAUUGCUCAAACUGAUCUCAAUACGUAUAAAUCAACCAUGGUUUUGGGUGAACUGGAUAUAUAACUUGUCUCCUAUGGGAAGAGAAUAUAAAAAGUUAAUUCACAAUCUGCAUGAAUUUACGAGAGAUAUAAUACAAACAAAACAACUUGUAUAUAACGUACAGAACGACAAAUCACAGAGUAACUGCGAUGACUUUGAAACAGCAGCCAAGAGGAAGAGGAAGACCUUACUAGAACUUUUGUUAGACCUAAGUAAAAACGAAAACAAUAUGCUAACUAUGGAAGAUUUGAAGUCACAGCUCAAUACAUUCAUAUUUGCGAGUUACGAUACAACGGCAACUACGCUUUGUUGGGCGCUCUACUGUCUUGGCAAUAAUCUUGACCACCAAGAGAAGGUUCACAAAGAACUAGAGGAAGUUUUCCAAGAUUCGCAAGAGCCAGCCUCUGUAAUGCAACUCUCACAAUUAAAAUAUCUCGACAGAGUUAUGAAAGAGUCUAUCAGAUUAUAUCCAACCGUGCCGUCAAUUGCGAGAAAAAUCAGGGACAAUAUAAACAUAGAUGAUUGGGUAAUCCCGAAAGACAGCACAGUUUUGGUGUCGAUCAUGCUGCUGCAUCGCAACCCAGCGGUCUGGCCGAAUCCAUUGAAGUUCGAUCCGGAUCGAUUCCUACCUGAGAACAUGAGAUAUAUGCAUCCGUACUCUUUCAUUCCGUUUAGUACUGGACCGAGAAACUGCAUCGGCCAGCGAUUCGCCUUGCUCGAGGAGAAGAUCAUAUUGACUGCCAUACUCCGAAAGUGGAGGGUCAAGAGCGUGGAUACGCCUGCGGAAAUAACUCUGUUCGACGGCGCUGUGUUACGACCGUAUCAGCAAAUUAUACGUAUGCAUUUAUCACCAAGAAAAGAAAAGUAAAAUGUCACGUGACUUAAUACCGAUUCUAUGCGCCGUUGAGUUCUAAAAAUAAAGGAAUAUUUCCUUUCUGUUUUACCUGUUCUUUUUUUACACGCGGCUAAUUGCGUCCUCUGCAGCGCUCUCCUUCCCGAAGCGAUUUGUGUAUCAUGUUUUAUGUGCACCCGACUACUUAGUAUAGCGACACUAAUGUCAACUGUAGAUAAGUAGCGCGCGAGCCGCAUGAUAAUAUUCGUGAUGAUGAGUGUGCUAGCGAGCAGAAUUCAGAAUAAUUCAGAACGGGGUCAAUAAUAAAAAGAUGAUCUCAAUGUAUAUAGGUGUGGGAGAAAAAAAUCAAGGCGAUGAAGAAAAACGACGUCAUUAAGCGAGCGAGAUGAAUGUCUCAAAGCAUUGAUUUUCCAUCGAUCAGUCGAGUUCACGCAGUGCGAACGUAGACAUCGUGUUUCGCAUCGCGCAUAGCGAUGGAUGUACUUUCUGUGCGCGAAUCGCUACGUAACCGCGGUAAAGUCGCAUUCGUUUCUCCGUAUAUUUUGUUAAUCGCACACGAAUUAUCUCAUUUCAAAUUUCGUAAAUUAUUCUAAAAACUCUCACAUUAAACAUUUUGGUCGAACAUUAAAAACGAUGUUAAAACAUUGAUUGGAGGGAAAUAGAGGCGAAACGAAGGGAAAUACGUCGGUUUUGGAAAUGUUGUGUGACCCAAUUAUCUGUUUUUAGAGAUACGGAUAAUUAACGACGCCAUGUCGGCAAACUAAUUCCGAGUGCGCUUUUCGCGAAAUUUGUGUGAAGUGCAUAGACACGUGAAUAAAUUUUAUAUCGACCAGAGAAUCACGUUAUCAUACGUUUAAAAAGAGAAUGUUUCCGUAUAAUUUAUUAUGUACGACAAACUUAUUGCGCAGCAAUCUCGUCCGAAGGAAAUUGAUCUAUCAAGAAAAUGAUCGUCAACAGGAUGUAAAAACGACGUUCCUACGAUGUUCUUCGGACAAUAU